rnacentral:miRNA from 2 species
UGCAUUGCGACGGGUUACAUC